GAGUUUGAUCGUGGCUCAGAGUGAACGCUGGCGGUAGGCCUAACACAUGCAAGUCGAACGGCAGCACAGAGGAGCUUGCUCCUUGGGUGGCGAGUGGCGGACGGGUGAGGAAUACAUCGGAAUCUACUCUGUCGUGGGGGAUAACGUAGGGAAACUUACGCUAAUACCGCAUACGACCUACGGGUGAAAGCAGGGGAUCUUCGGACCUUGCGCGAUUGAAUGAGCCGAUGUCGGAUUAGCUAGUUGGCGGGUAAAGGCCCACCAAGGCGACGAUCCGUAGCUGGUCUGAGAGGAUGAUCAGCCACACUGGAACUGAGACACGGUCCAGACUCCUACGGGAGGCAGCAGUGGGGAAUAUUGGACAAUGGGCGCAAGCCUGAUCCAGCCAUACCGCGUGGUGAAGAAGGCCUCGGUUGU
rnacentral:rRNA from 1 species